AAAAGUAGGGUUUUGGAGAUUCUUUAAUUAAGGGUCCAACCUCAUUCUCUUCGAGGGGUCAUGCUCUCAUUUGCACAUUCAGUCUUCCUUUUCCCUUGAACGCAUUGGCCAGAAGCUCGAAGCUUCUUCCCUUUCUUUUUCCCCUUUUCUCGCGGGCACAGUUAGCGAGGGUGCUGUGAUGGAGGUGGGUGGCCAGCGACGGUACUGCGUUGGCGGCGAGGUCGCGGCAAGGGUGUCCUGAACGGUGGUGUAUCCACGAGCGUUUAAAACUCCAACUUGUUUCUCUCUCUUUCUCGCGAGCAACCAACCUGGAGGGAUUAUUGAUGGCGCUGCGAUGUGGGCGAAAGCAGCGGCAACAUCGAGUUUUGGGUUCAUUUUCGUUCUCUGUUUUUGGGGUUUCCUUCUGGGAUUUGUUUGUUUCUCCUCUACAGGAUUGGUGGUGGGACUUGGAGUUUUGUUUUGGGUGUGAGAUUGGGUUCCGUUUUUGAGAAUUUUAGAUCUCCUGUUUGGGGAUUAGGAUUCCGAGUUGUGAUUUGGGGCUUUCUUCUACCUCUGUUCGUAGCAAUUUGUGGUCCUUUGUUGAUUCUUCUUAGUGAGUUUAAUUCGCGCCUUGAGGUUCUGGUUCUGGAAGUUUUGGAUUAUCCCGUGGUGGUUCUGGGUUUCCGUUGGUGGUGGUUGCACGAGCGGCGGCAAUGGAGGCGCUGGUCGGUGCGGCAUGGAUGUUACGGUGGUUGGCCGAGGAAUCUUUCAUGGGCUUGACUUGAUCUGGGCUGGGUUAAUUGGACCGUAAAAUCCUUUGAGGAACAGAUUUGGAAUUUAUUAUUAUAAAUUCCAAAAAUAAUAAUAAGAAUUUUUUAAUUGGGCUGUAGGCCCAGAGUCUGGCACGGAGGACUGUGAUUGGUUCAGUUUGAACCUACUUGAACUGCAAACCCAGAGUGUCUAGUUGGGGUUGGGUGCAUGGUAUGAGAAGUUUUCUGUUUCAUUGAUAAAAGAUAUUCAUUUUAGAGAAAUGAAAAAACAGUUAGUUAGUGUGGGUGUGAGAGAGUGGAAGGGUCAUGGUCCACCCAGAAUUUGGGAGAGGAAGAUGGUGCUGAAUAUAGAGGGGACCCAACGGCCACCUGGUCAGGAUGAAAGAGGCGGAUUCAGAGUACGUAGCAGUGGUGUUGACGUUGGUUUGGGAAUCACAAGUUCACAACAAACUUUGUUUUUUCCUUUUCCGUUAAAGAGAAAAGAGUCAUUAAGAUAUAAUUUGAAUCAUGUUGUCCGUAGGCUACAUUUCUUGUGUUCCACUUGGAACAGCAUUUUCAUCCCGUCAUCCUUCCUCCUCUGAAAAAAUUUGUUUGAAGCGAUCUUCAAUUCAAAAGACUAGAGCAGUUCAAGUUCGGAGUAAUCUUAUAAGCGAGGGAAACGAAUUAAUUUUUCAGCGAUUCAACUGGAAAUCUCAUGACCAACAUCAGAAGUUGUGGAAUUUCUUAGGAACUAAAAUUCCUGAGAUUGCUAAAUCAGGGUUUUCAUCCGUGUGGUUGCCAGACUCAUUUUCACCAGAAGGUUACACCCCUCAAAACCUUUAUUCUUUAAAUACUAGAUAUGGUUCAGAGGAUGAGUUAAGAACUUUGCUUCAUAAGAUGAAGCAAUAUGAAGUUAGAUCAAUGGCGGAUAUUGUUAUUAAUCAUCGCUGUGGUACGACAAAAGGACAUAGAGGAAUGUACAAUAGAUUCGAUGUCAUCCCUUUAGCAUGGGAUGAACAUGCUGUUACAUCAUCUUCGGGAGGAUUGGUAAGAUGAGUAACCUUUAUUCUAUAACAUUCUUUUUGUUAGAUCUUAAUUCAUACUUGGUUCGUAUUAUUAUAUUCUUGACUUGUUUAUUUCAGGAAAAUCCAAACACUGGCAACAAACUUUUUCUUGGAUUUCCUAUCAUUAAUCACACAAAAGAAUUUGUAAGAAAGGACAUACUUAACUGACUUCGCAGGUUAUGGUUUUGAAGAUUUUCGAUUUGAUUUUGUGAGAGGGUAAGAUAUUAUGUGACAUUAAUUAGUGUAUUGCAUUGUCUGUUUAUUUUUUUCUUAAUCAUGUUAUAUAUCUUUGGUCUGUAUUGUUUAUAUAGGUUUUCAGCAAAAUAUGUGAAAGAAUAUAUUGAGGGAGCAAACCCUUUGUUUUCUAUUGGAGAGUAUUGCGAUGACUGUAACUAUCAACAUUCUUAUUUGGACUAUAAUCAAGGUAUUCCUGCUUAAUCUUAAGUAAAUAAUUUUUAUUUAGUUUUGAAUUUUCUAAACACUAUUAUCAAUAUUUGCAGACAGUCAUAGACAAGAUAUAAUUAAUUGGAUAGAUGGCACGGGACAGCUUUCAACUGCCUUUGAUUUUACUACCAAAGGAAUUCUUCAGGUAUAUUGUACUUAGUUGGUACUGAAUAAGUUAAUUUUUGCAAGAAGAUCAAUUGACAAGCAAAAAUCAACUUAUUCAGUAUCAACUAAAUACAAUAUACCUGAAGAAUUUCUUUGGUAGUAAAAUCAAAGGCAGUUGAAAGCUGUCCCGUGCCAUCUAUCCAAUUAAUUAUAUCUUGUCUAUGACUGUCUGCAAAUAUUGAUAGUAGUGUUUAGAAAAUUCAAAACUAACUAAAAAUUAUUUACUUAAGAUUAAGCAGGAGUACCUUGAUUAUAGUCCAAAUAAGAAUGUUGAUAGUUACAGUCAUCCCAAUACUCUCCAACAGAAAACAAAGGGUUUGCUCACUCAAUAUAUUCUUUCACAUAUUUUGCUGAAAACCUAUAUAAACAAUACAGACCAAAGGUAUAUAUAACAUGAUUAAGAAAAAAAUAAACAGACAAUGCAAUACACUAAUUAAUGUCACAUAAUAUCUUACCCUCUCACAAAAUCAAAUCGAAAAUCUUUAAAACCAACAUCAUGACGUAACCAGCGAAGCCAGUUAAGUAUGUCCUUUCUUACAAAUUCUUUUGUGUGAUCAAUGUUAGGAAAUCCAGAAAAAAGUUUGUUGCCAGUGUUUGGAUUUCCCUGAAAUAAACAAGUCAAGAAUAUAAUAAUACGAACCAAGUAUGAAUUAAGAUCUAACAAAAAGAAUGUUAUAGAAUAAAGGUUACUCAUCUUAUCAAUCCUCCCGAAGAUGAUGUAACAGCAUGUUCAUCCCAUGCUAAAGGGAUGUCAUCGAAUCUAUUGUACAUUCCUCCAUGUCCUUUUGUCGUAUCACAACGAUGAUUAAUAACAAUAUCCGCCAUUGAUCUAACUUCAUAUUGCUUCAUCUUAUGAAGCAAAGUUCUUAACUCAUCCUCUGAACCAUAUCUAGUAUUUAAAGAAUAAAAGUUUUGAGGAGUGUAACCUGUUUGUAGUAAUAAACUUAAAUAGCUUUCAACUGCCUUUGAUUUUACUACCAAAGGAAUUAUUCAGGUAUAUUGUACUUAGUUGGUACUGAAUAAGUUUAUUUUUGCAUGCCAAUUGAUCUUCUUGUUUUAAUUUGUAUGAAGCGGUUAAAUGAGAGUUUUGGCAGCUUCGUGAUGCUCAAGGAAAGCCACCAGGUGUGAUGGGGUGGUGGGCAUCAAGAUCUGUUACGUUUCUUGAUAACCAUGACACAGGCUCAAGCUAGAAUCAUUGGCCAUCCCCGAAAGACCAUAUUAUGGAGGGAUAUGCAUAUAUAUUGACCCAUCCAGGAAUACCAACGGUAAUUUUUGACCAUUUGUAUGGGGAGAACGCACAUCUGCAAUCAAUCGUGAAAUUGAAUUAUAGAGGCCAAACAUGACCUCUAUUCUGCCGUGAUAGAUGAGAAACUCUCUAUGAAGAUUGGAGAGAAGCUCUCUAUGAAGAUUGGAGAGGGUUCGUGGUGUCCUGGAGAGGAUGGACAAUUUCAACAUCUGGCCACAACUAUGCUGUGUGGCAUAAGGCUAAUCAUUGAGAGAUCGCAUGAUACAUCCUCAGCCGUUUAUAGAAAAUCUAGGCAACUUAUCUUUAUAUUUGUAAGACAUUAAUCAAAUCAGGGUUUUCAAUAGCCUUUCUUUUAUUGUGGAUUUAUAUUUUGUACUUUUUUUUAAGUUUAUUUCAAGGAGCUGCUCCUGUAGCUCAGGGACAGAAGAAAUCUUAGAUCCCAAGUUAUCUUGUGAUGCAGAGGAACCGAGACGAAUGGCUUUGGAAAUUGAUUAGUCAUAGUCUUGCAUUGCCCUUUA